rnacentral:tRNA from 1 species
UGGCUCACUGGUAAAGAAUCUGCCUGCCAAGCAGAAAACCCAGGCUCGAUUCCUGG